rnacentral:rRNA from 1 species
GAUGAACGCUGGCGGCGUGCCUAAUACAUGCAAGUCGAGCGAACAGACGAGGAGCUUGCUUCUCUGACGUUAGCGGCGGACGGGUGAGUAACACGUGGAUAACCUACCUAUAAGACUGGGAUAACUUCGGGAAACCGGAGCUAAUACCGGAUAAUAUAUUGAACCGCAUGGUUCAAUAGUAAAAGACGGUUUUGCUGUCACUUAUAGAUGGAUCCGCGCUGCAUUAGCUAGUUGGUAAGGUAACGGCUUACCAAGGCAACGAUGCGUAGCCGACCUGAGAGGGUGAUCGGCCACACUGGAACUGAGACACGGUCCAGACUCCUACGGGAGGCAGCAGUAGGGAAUCUUCCGCAAUGGGCGAAAGCCUGACGGAGCAACGCCGCGUGAGUGAUGAAGGUCUUCGGAUCGUAAAACUCUGUUAUUAGGGAAGAACAAAUGUGUAAGUAACUGUGCACGUCUUGACGGUACCUAAUCAGAAAGCCACGGCUAACUACGUG